rnacentral:lncRNA from 1 species
GGUUUAAAUGACAGGCACAGAGAAAUAUGCCUGUAGUGUUUUUGUUUGCUCAGUUGUAAUUUCCAGAUGUUGGGUUCUACUGCAAUAACUUUUGAAAGUCCAAAGUCAUUUUAAAAGCUCACUAAGAUGAGAGGUAAAAACUUUAAUGAAGAAGGAUGACACCUAUGUCAAUGGAGAAUUAGCAUUGGAGAAACCUUCCUUCUAUGGAUUUAGAUGAGAUCUGGGACAUCAUUUACCACUGCAAACAUCUCAUGGCAUAUGACAAAACCUCCAGGAUAGCCUUAAGUCCUUCUUUAUGCUAUCAUCAAGAAUGUAGGUAUUAGAGACCUUUGGGGAUAAAUUAAUCAUCCCCAAACCUUUUUCUCUUCUCAUUGUCCUAAAUUCUCAAAUAACUCUUUGCGCAGUCUGAUCCCCAACAUUUCUCCAGAGGUAGAUUUACAUGCAACGCAAGAGAAGACUCAUAUACAGAAAAUCACUCCUCCAUAUACUACCACUACCACUACAGAAACAAGACGUAAGUGAAGCUAUUCUCUUCUAAGGCAAUUUUUAUUUUAUUCUGUGUUCGUCUCUGUCAAAGAUAAGUUCUUCAGCUGUGAAACAGCAAAAUAGAAUGGAAAACUCUGAAGCCAGCCCGAAGAACUGCUUACUAACAUUCGAAUCAGUUGGUGAAAUGCAGUUGUGUUACACACUGGGACCCUUACUAGGGCCAUGAGCAGGAGUUGCAGUCUUUCUGCCCUCACAGCUUUCCCUGCUGUACUCUAAGCUACCUUGGACAGAGCACGUUGGUUAUGACCAACGGUCUGGAACAACGUCCCACAGCCAUACAGGCACAGUGUCUAGAGCCACGGGAAAGAAUGACUGAAGAUGAUCUCAGCACACAGAACGCUGCUAAGCAGACAUCUGCGUCCCUGCUGGAAUUGUCGUCUGCAGUUCUUUAAGCUGGAAGAACAAUCCUGGCAAUAGAGCCGUGUUUACUAAGAGAAAAUGGAAUUUUAAUGAAAAAAGAGGUCUUUCAAACAUUCCUGAAGACAAGAUCAAAGCUGAAUGGAAAUUUUGACAUUCAAACAAAAGAUUCAAGAGAGGGGCCAAUCACAGCUUCCAAAUUGCCUAGAACUACCCAGGGGAGUAUCUGUGGGAUCCAUCUCUCAUCCUCUGAAGGUGUCAACUCUUCUCAUAGCCCUCUGAAGGUGUCAACUCUUGUCAAACUGUUGGCCACUUUUGAAUUAACCGUCCACUAAAGCCCCACUAAGAG